rnacentral:rRNA from 1 species
GACGAACGCUGGCGGCGUGCUUAACACAUGCAAGUCGAACGGAAAGUCCCCUUCGGGGGUACUCGAGUGGCGAACGGGUGCGUAACACGCGAGUAACCUGCCCUUGACUUCGGGAUAACUUCAGGAAACUGGGGCUAAUACCGGAUAGGAAUCCUUGCUGCAUGGUGGGGGUUGGAAAGCUUCGGCGGUUUUGGAUGGACUCGCGGCUUAUCAGCUUGUUGGUGGGGUAGUGGCUUACCAAGGCUUUGACGGGUAGCCGGCCUGAGAGGGCGACCGGCCACAUUGGGACUGAGAUACGGCCCAGACUCCUACGGGAGGCAGCAGUGGGGAAUAUUGCACAAUGGGCGGAAGCCUGAUGCAGCAACGCCGCGUGCGGGAUGACGGCCUUCGGGUUGUAAACCGCUUUCAGCAGGGGCGAAGCUUGUGGUGACGGUACCUGCAGAAGAAGCACCGGCUAACUACGUG